rnacentral:rRNA from 1 species
UACAGAGGUGGCAAGCGUUGUUCGGAAUUACUGGGCGUAAAGGGCGCGUAGGCGGCCAUCUAAGUCAGACGUGAAAUCCCCCGGCUUAACCUGGGAACUGCGUCUGAUACUGGACGGCUAGAGUAUGGGAGAGGGUAGUGGAAUUCCCGGUGUAGCGGUGAAAUGCGUAGAUAUCGGGAGGAACAUCAGUGGCGAAGGCGGCUACCUGGCCCAAUACUGACACUCAGGUGCGACAGCGUGGGGAGCAAACAGG